UGGAUAGUUGCUCCUCAUCCCCGCA
rnacentral:misc_RNA from 1 species